ensembl:miRNA gmo-mir-551 gmo-mir-551
AUCAAGAGUGGUUCUGGCCAGUUUUUUAAACAUGGCGACCCAUCCUUGGUUU